GUACGUCUGCCUUUCCCUCUGUGGGGUGCUGAGCAGUUCUCUCUUUAAUCAUAGCCUAUUAUCUGCAUUGUGCUACUGUCCAUCUUGCUUCUGCUCACCAGCCUCCACUAUAGAACUGCAGAACCACAGAACAUCCUGAGCUGGAAGGGAUGCACCAGGACCAUUGGGUCCAACUUCUGGCUCCAGACAGAACAUCCUCAAAUCCAGACCCAGUGUCUGGGAACAUUGUCCAAAGAGGCAGAGUUGGCCAAACAGAGCUGCCCAGCUGCGGUUCUGGUGCAGAAGGACACCUACUGGCUAGGGCAUGAAGCCACCUGUGGUGUUCUAGUCCUUAUGAAGUGCUGUAUGCCAGUGACAGAGCAUGUCUCAUGAUGCACAAGCAAUCCCAGGCACCAAGGAGUUGAGAUCUCCUGAAACCAACCUGCCCGAAGUUGUUUUACUGCCUCCUCCCUGUCCCUGUGGUAAAGGCCCACCUGAAAGAAAAGCCGGAAAGUCCAAUUCUGCUGAAACUUCUCUACUCAAGGUAUGAGAGUUCAGAGCACCAGUGUGGUCAGAUUAUUUAUCUCUAUCUAGCAAAUGUCACCAUUGUGCUUCUUCAUCUGAAUCAAACAGAUCACAGGGGCAGGCUGGAGUCCCUGUGCCCAGAUGUGAGUCCUAAUCAGUUAGCAUUCGGCAACGUGGGAUGCACUCUUUGCUUUAAUAAGAAAUAUGACAAGUCAUGGAAUC